rnacentral:tRNA from 1 species
GCUUUGGUGGUUCAGUGGUAGAACUCUCACCUUCUAGGCAAGACACCAGGUUUGAUUCCUAGCCAAGGCA